UGCUGCACAUUAGAUUAUCUGUUUUGUUACGAAAUAUGCAAUUAGUAAUAUUUCUCCUUUUUGCCACUUUCUCCUGUGUCCUGUCACAGGUAACACUGACUGAGUCCGGACCAGGUGUCCUGAAGCCUUCACAGAACCUUUUUCUGACCUGUAGAGUCUCCACUUCUCUGAGCGGUUACUGGUGGAUCUGGGUUCGUCAGAUCCAUGGAAAAGGUUUGGAAUGGUUGGCACAAAUACAUAGUGAUAAGAGCACUUACUUCUCACAGUCACUGCGCAGUCGACUAACAAUUACAAUAGACACCUCCAAGAAUGAAUUCUACCUGCAGGUGACAGAUAUGAGACCUGAUGACUCAGGGACAUAUUACUGUGCAAGACACACAGUGAGAAAGAGAAGUGAUACUUCAGGAAAAUACCACAUGGUCUAA